rnacentral:snoRNA from 1 species
ACCACUAGAUCCCUUCCCCCUCAGAGCUAAACAUGGGCCUGAGUGGCUAUCAAAGAGUAAAAGCAAAGUUGAAGUGGACUUGGAUUUUUUAGUGAUACACAAGUUCAUUUCAAACAAAC